rnacentral:sRNA from 1 species
GGGGGUAAUUUCUUCUAAGCUAAAUACUGGCCAGAGACCGAUAGCGCACAAGUAGAGUGAUCGAAAGAUGAAAAGCACUUUGGAAAGAGAGUCAAAAAGUACGUGAAAUUGUUGAAAGGGAAGCGCUUGCAACCAGACCUGCCCGUAGUUGCUCAUCCAGGCUUCUGCCUGGUGCACUCUUCUGCGGUCAGGCCAGCAUCAGUUCUGGCGGUCGGAUAAAGGCGGCGGGAAUGUAGCUCCUCUCGGGGAGUGUUAUAGCCCGCCGUGUCAUGCGGCCAGCCGGGACUGAGGUCCGCGCUUCGGCUAGGAUGCUGGCGUAAUGGUUGUAAGCGGCCCGUCUUGAAAACACGGAC